GGAAACAGAUGCUAAUACCGGAUAACAACANAUGAUGCCUAUCAACUGUUUAAAAAGAUGGUUCUGCUAUCACUCUUGGAUGGACCUGCGGUGCAUUAGCUAGUUGGUAGGGUAACGGCCUACCCAAGGCGAUGAUGCAUAGCCGAGUUGAGAGACUGAUCGGCCACAUUGGGACUGAGACACGGCCCAAACUCCUACGGGAGGCAGCAGUC
rnacentral:rRNA from 1 species